GGUAAGAGGCACAGAAGAGAAGAAGAAGAAAGAAGAAGAAAAGAAAGAAGAGGAGAAGAAAGCUGAAGAGCCUCAGGAGAUCGUUCUUAAAGUUGAUAUGUAUUGUGAGGCUUGUGCUCGGAAGGUCGGCAGAGCCCUAAAAGGAUUUCAAGGAGUGGAGGAAGUAAUGACAGACUGACAGG